UACGUAGGGCGCAAGCGUUGUCCGGAAUUACGUGGGCGUAAAGGCGCGUAGGCGGCCUUCUAAGUCGAACGAUGAAACUCCCCGGGCUCAACCGGGAACUGCGUCCGAUACUGGGAGGCUUGAAUCCGGGAGAGGGAUGUGGAAUUCCAGGUGUAGCGGUGAAAUGCGUAGAUAUCUGGAGGAACACCGGUGGCGAAGGCGGCAUCCUGGACCGGUAUUGACGCUGAGGCGCGAAAGCCAGGGGAGCAAAGCGGG
rnacentral:rRNA from 1 species